rnacentral:lncRNA from 1 species
ACGCACGCAAGGUAUGUGUAUCAUUCUCAUUCUUCAACCUGAACAAACACAAAAUGCAAAAGUAGGUCUCACGUUGAAAUUCGGUAUGUCAUGACUCGUACCUGAACAACUAGGUACGAGCUGAGAUCACCAGGGGAAUUGUUUAUGACUUGAACAACGGGUAUCAUUCUCAUUCAUGACUUCUCUGAUGCAGACUUCAAGGAGCACUGGGAAUCUGGAUUGGAUGAGCUUUUGGGAUUGAAAAUAAUGGACGGAAUGUAACACAAUUGCAAUGGAGAUUCAGGUUGGCGAAUUUUGCAAAAGUUCUUUUGAUCACACGCAUCGUAUAAGAGUCAAGUCAGACAGAUUCAGCAACUGAAACGCACAAAAGAUGGGUGCCAUGCCAUUUUCAAACCACAUGUUCGAAAACAACUGAUGCAUAGGCGGACAAGAAAUAAACAAAAACUCAUCAGCAUUUGACAUCAUCACUAUAUCAUAUGUAGAACCUACAGAGCAGGUCCGGAACCGCACGUGUAGUUGCAGAAAAACGUAGCUAUAAAUGCAGGCAAUUCUGCAGUGCAGUGAGUAACAAUUGCAAGCUAACCAUAAUUCAUAUAAUCGUGAGAUUUGUGGUAAUCAUUCAUUAACAUUGGAACACCACGCUCACAGAUUAGGGGGAAAUGUAUGUGUUUGUGAUAAGGGAAUAAGGGUAAGUUGC